CUCCCCUUCUUUCUUUCCCUUCUUGACAUUAUUUAAUUUCUCAUAAUAUCUUGCUUUCUCUCGUCAACACAAAUAACUUGUAGGUUGCAUUCGUUCAUUUUCUGUGUGUGAUUGUUUCCAUAGCGUGUAUGGAAGCUGAAGCUACUUUAAAAGAUCAUCCUGAGCAUGUUCAGCAGUUGAUUCUGGUAGGACCAGCUGGAUUUUCAUCUGAGACUGAACAUAUGUCCAAGCGGAUGACCCAGUUCAGAGCAACUUGGAAGGGAGUUGUCUUGAAUCAUCUGUGGGAGACUAAUUUUACCCCAAUGAAACUUAUCAGGUAGAUGCUUUUCUAAACGCCUUGCUUCUACUUCUAGUCUAACAUGCUGCGACCAUUGUUUUUGCAUAUGUUAAGGCAUAAUACAAGUAUUUACAUUGACACUUUCAUGUAUCUGAUUUUUCUCAUUUGUUCAUCUCACUGUACUCUCUGGUUACUGCAAGCUUUUACUUUACUCAGCGAGCAUAAUUCAUUUUAAGUCUAAUGCCUACUGCUGUUUAUGAUUCAUCUCUCCUUUGUUCCCCUUCGUCCAAUGAUAUGAUCAUAUGGCGAGCAUAUUGUACGUUGACUGCAAAUGCUUUGCCUGGAUUUCAAUGUUUUUCGAGGAAUGCAUGGUAAAGGACCUGGGAAAACCCAUAUAAGAUACUGGCGGAUGGUUUCAGUAAACUCUUGGUUUUUUAACUACCUAUACUUUACUACUGUCCUGCUUGAUUUGCUGUGUCUUAUUUGAAUUGUCACCUUUCCUUGAUUUAAGACAUCAAACACUUAAUCAUGCAUCUGUCCGACAUUAGUGGCAUGAUCUAUAUGAAUUCACUACACUGUAAGUAACAACAACUGCCUUAUUCAAAAAAGAAAACAAAAUAUCAUAUCUUAGGAACCCUCUAUAUUGGUAUAUCCCAAGUAAUGCAAGAUAUUGUUUCAAAGGGGAAAAAGGGUAGAACUUACAAUUUCAUAAAGAAACAAUUUGCGGGAGGGAGUGAAAGGUAAGGUCUCAUUUAUUUGAAUUAUUUGGUCUUGAUUUGGCAUUUUCACCAUAAUUUAUCCCAUGUUCAGAAUGCAUCUGUCAAACCUCUUAUUUCUUCCCUUUAAAAAGAUGUUUGGUAGGGAUAUCAGGGUAACUUUUCAUUUUAGUAUGUUAAUAGGAAAUCAAGAGACUAAACUUCUCUUUCUUUGAUUUAUCAUAGUUAUCGUUAAAAUUAAGCCAUUCAUUAUGCGUUUGAAUUUUACGUGACACGAGGCAUUCAUGUUUUAAAAAUAUUUGUAAAGAAAAGACUGCAGUUGUCCUGAAAAAUGCUUUCUAUAAGUAAAGUUUACCCUUACGAGCUGUGGCUGCUAAUCUUUCCCUCUGCCUCACUCUCUCAUAAUCCUGUAGGUUUUCUGUAACUUAAAGAGUUACCAAGUGCUAGAGCCAUUUCUUUCAAGUUUUAUCAAUGAUUUGACAAAAAAGAUUCGAUUCCACUUACAGUAUCAAUUUUCAAAAAAAGAUUCGACUUCACAGAUGGUUGUUUCAUAUGCUAGAUUUUUGAAAAAUCAUUUUAUAUGUUGAUGCUGUGAAUAAUUACUUUGUAGAGUUGGUACUGCUCAUAUUCUUGAUAUUUGAUACUUUAGCUUGCGUAUCGACUUUUCUUUGUUCAAAGCUGCACCCUGUAGCUGUCCGGGAUCCUUUCCUGGAUUGAGGUUUGAACUGGGUUAGUAGUUCUGAAAGAAUUUUUUAUACGUGACUUUUAUUUAUCUGGAGAGUGCUAAUAUUGCUGGCAAUUUAAUAAUGUAGAGGCUUAGGCCCAUGGGGUCCAAACCUUGUCCGUAGAUACACAAAUGCUUGAUUUACUGCAGAUUCUAAUGGAGAUGAUUUGACUGAGGAGUGGUCUGGACUACUCUCAGAUUGUUUGUUUUAUGGAAGAUUAUAUAUAUCACACUUUGGCAGCAAAACCUAGUGGGGGAGCUAUGCUUAAAAUAUAUAUUUUCCUUUGGAGCUUUUGCCAAGAGUCCUUUUUUAUACAGGUGAUAUACCCACUCUCUGUCUUUUUCUCUUUACCUCUCUCAAUCUCCCUCACUCCCCUCUCUCUUCACACACAAGAACACCACUUGCAAAUCAUGCUAAUUUUUACUACCGAGUUGCAGAAUAAAAUGCUGAAAACCUAAUAUUCCUGCGACUGUAGAUCCUAAUUGUGUCUAGCUCCGAAUUGGUUUAGUAUUGUUCAUUUUCUGUUUUUUAUAAUGCCGCUAUAAUGUCUUCUGCUUGCCACACUUUUCUGGAAUAUGAGGCUGUCAUUAGAAUUACAGAGGUAGAACUUGGAUUUCUCACAUAUUUACAUGUGAUAGGAUAUGUAUCAAUUUAGUUGCAAGCACGGAACAUGUAAAUAUUGAUUUGACCUAUGGGUUCUCUGUUUCUUACCAAUCAGCAGCGCACGGUAAAUUUAUGCUGUACCAGCAGGAAGAGGAAAAACCUUAAAGAGAGAGAGUGUUUUAAGAAAAUAUGCGCCACUCAUUAGUCCUUCUGUAACUUGAGAGGGUGGGAUGAGGGAACUAAAUGAAAGACUGCAUGAACUCUUUGCCGUUACAGUUGAUGCAGUUAGAUGGACCCUGCCUUCACAUCUUUGCAAUAAGGUCUUCUUGAAAGCUAAUAGGAACUAUUCCUCAGCUCAUUAAAGAAUGCUAAUGCAAUUGAAUUUGCACUGUGUAGACCUUGGGAUUUAACAACAACAACAACAACAACAAACCCAGUGUAUUCCCACCUAGUGGGGUCUGGGGGGGUAAGAUGUACGCAGUCCAUACCUCUACCUCUGAUGAAGUAGAAAGGCUGUUUCCGAAAGACCUUGGGAUUUAAAUGAGUAAAAAAUUUGGAUGGCCGGCUAUGCAGUUAUUUCACUAAACAUAAGUAGGAACCUCAACUACACGGGAAUUUAUUGUCCAAACGGAUGAGGACCAUGAAGAUUUAGUAAUAACCUUGUCUGCCUCGCAGGCAAUAUAAUUUUAAGCAUUCAAAAAAUGGCUGGAUUGAUCUGAUUUAAUAAGUUAUUAUUUGCAAUUGUAUACUGACCUUCCUCAUUGCGAGGAGCCUCACCCUCUUCACUUAUAAAGAAAAGGAAAUCCUUGAACUGGUCGUGAUGACUAGCAGACAACCAUUAUAACUUAAACACACUUUUUUUGAUAUUUUAUAUUUUAAUCUUUGACUGUGUCAAAUUGAUUGUCAUGUCCUGUUUAGUCCUUUAUAGGAACAUGUAGGUGCAAUAAUACAGCGAACGAGACUGAUAAUAGAGUUGAAGGUAGACCUAAAAUCAGAUUGAAUAGAGUUUCAGAAGUACCAUAUCUCUCUCCGAGUCAAUGUAGAUCUUAGCUUAGGAACAUAACAUAAUUGAAGCGAAACACCUAUCUAGGCUAUUCCUACUUGUAAAAUUACUGUUUGGUUGUUGUUACGUUUCUCUCUAUCCUAUAUUUGUCUGGAGUCCUUUUAUUCUGUUUAAGAGACAUUUAUGUCCUUAUGGAAAUGCGAAACUGAAAGAAACUCAACGAUCCUUUGAGAUACAAAUUAUUUUGUAUUGGAAUAAAUAGGCUUAAAAUGAGCGAAAUAGCUAUAGAGGGUUUGUAUAGUCGAUAGCUAGUUUAGGACUGAGAUGUAGUUGAUUGAUUUAGUCUCUGGUAAAGUAGAAGGGAGAAUUAUUUCUUCUGUUUGAUGGAAUGAGUAUAUUUCUGUAACCAAGAUGAUUAGUCAUUAUUUGCCGUAGUAAAAUGUAGUAGUAUUGUGCUGGUGGAUGGGGUUCACAUUCAAUCCUGUUAUUUAAUGUGUCUGUUAGCAAUUGACCUUUUUUCUGCUGGAAGCAUUUAAUGGCUGUUUUGAUAUGACCCUUAGAAGUGAUUAGUUAUGGGUAGUUAAUAGACUAAACGAAGGGUCCAGAUCAGAAGAUUAGUAAUGAAGAGGAUGGCUCGGAUCAGUCUACGUGGCAACUCAAGUGUUUAUAAAAGCUCCGGAGGAGAGAGAAUUCUAAAAGAGAAAGCCGGUACCCCAACUAACUUCCCCUCUUCACGUUUUCUCUCCUUUCUCUUCCAUCUCCUAUUUUGAUUCCCUCUAAUCCCUUCUCUUCUCUUCCGUUCAGAUCUGAAGUUCAACAAUGGCGACGUAGUAAUUAUCUUGAAUUUUAUUUAGUUAGUUACUUGCAAUUUACUUUUUUGUAAUUCGAUUCACUAAAGAGAAAAUGGUCCCGAAAUUCAUUGCUAUGUUAAUUUCCUGUUAAAUUCGCAUUUUACAAAGCUAGGUCAUAGCAUUUGGUAUUAGAGCCUUGCUCCUGCGACUAUGGUAUCACCAUGAUCCUGAAUGAAGGCACCAGGUUGAAAUUUGUUGAGGAUCGAACCAUUAGAAUUGAAUGGGAAUAACUAUCAGUGAAAUUGGGCAAAAUAAUAAGGAAUUUUACAAAUUGCAGAAACAUGUAUAAUGUGUUCGUAACAUUGAUUGUGAGUGCCACAUCUAUAUUGAGAUUGCAGGAUGUUGUGUCCACAACAUCGAUUGUGAGUGCUACAUUUGUAUCGAGAGUGCAGGAUGUUGUGUACAUUGCAUCAAUUGCGAGUGCCACAUCUGUAUCAGAAGUGAUCCUACGUCUCCUGAAAGUGAAGGCCUGAACUACUAUGAAACUGAGAUCACACGACCUUCCAAUUUUCACGUGCUUGACGAUCCACAGGUAGAACUUGAUGCUUCCAUCCUCCGGUACAUUCAAGAGCUUGAUUUGUCUGGUAAUGAAUGGCUGGAAUGUGUGCAAUUUAAGGCAAUUAAAAUUGCUUCCUACUUGUUUGAGAAAAUGUCUGUGAGGGAUCAUGUCCAAGUAGUACACAUGUAUACAUAAGAUUUGAGAGUAAUUAAUUGCUUCCUAAAGAAAAUGUCUGAAAGGGAUCAUGUCCAAGUAGUACACAUGUAGUCAUAAGAUUUGAGAGUAAAUUCUCUCUUGUUUUAGUUGGAAAGGUACGGAUUGCUCCUGUAUGGGCUCCAGGGAUAGGUUUGACGGUGUGAAUUUAGUUGGUCACACAAUUACUGUUAGAUCAUUAUUGAUGGAUAUUACUACCAUGUCGUGUUUGCAUAAAUCUUCUAAUAACAUCAUUAGAGUGUGGGCUACGAGAUGGAUGUGGUUUAUGCAUCCUUCUAUUGUGCAUAUUGGUUAUGUAUGUUCAGGUGCUACAAUUCCAAUAUAUAGCCAUGUUUACAGUAGUAAAGUAGACUCCUCUGCUUUCCAAUCUCUUGAAGACCCAAGGUAGAAUUUGAUUCUUUUGUUAUUGUUGGAAUUAGAGGGCAAUACAUCCCCGGAUAUAUAGGAAUUGUAUGAUUCUUUUGGGUCUUUUGCUUAAUGUUCAUUUUGAUAUUGGCACAAGUCUGUUCAGUACAACUUGUAGCAUGUCCUUGUUUCCCAUUGGGCAAGAAUGUGCAGUUCAAUUAUUUGAAUCAACACAUCACAAAAUAAUUGUUUCUCUGAUGAUUUCCUGCUAUACUAGAGAUUUAUGGUGUCAUGAAGUUGAGAGUAUAUUUUCUGGUUGUUUGGAGGAUAUCCAAACCACCACUGUUGAGUUAAUAGUGUCAUUAGGAUGGUGUACAUCUGAGUCUUCUCUACAGCCUAAGUGCAUGCAGUCCAUCAUUGUCUCUAUGAAAAGGUUGCUGCCCGAUUUGUUUCCAA